CAUUAUCUCAUGGGGUGUGUUCAUUUUUGUUAUGAACGCUGAGAGGCUUACGCCAACCCAUUGAACCUGAUCCAGAUCAUGCUGGCGUAGGAAUCGAGAUAGCAAGUCACU
rnacentral:ncRNA from 1 species